UACAGAGGGUGCAAGCGUUAAUCGGAAUUACUGGGCGUAAAGCGUGCGUAGACGGUUACAUAAGUCGGGUGUGAAAGCCCCGGGCUCAACCUGGGAAUUGCAUUCGAGACUGCGUAGCUAGGGUGCGGAAGAGGGAAGCGGAAUUUCCGGUGUAGCGGUGAAAUGCGUAGAUAUCGGAAGGAACACCAGUGGCGAAAGCGGCAUUCCUGGUCCAGCACCGACGUUCAGGCACGAAAGCGUGGGGAGCAAACAGG
rnacentral:rRNA from 1 species